rfam:Trichobilharzia regenti genome assembly, scaffold: TRE_scaffold0008822
AUCCAGAUGACGAGUUCGAAAUAGGGUGAAAUGCGCAUCCUGACUGGAU